rnacentral:rRNA from 1 species
CCUACGGGAGGCAGCAGUGAGGAAUAUUGGUCAAUGGGCGCGAGCCUGAACCAGCCAAGUAGCGUGAAGGAUGACGGCCCUACGGGUUGUAAACUUCUGGUAUAAAGGAAUAAAGUGAGGCACGUGAGCCAUUUUGUAUGUACUUUAUGAAUAAGGAUCGGCUAACUCCGUGCCAGCAGCCGCGGUAAUACGGAGGAUCCGAGCGUUAUCCGGAUUUAUUGGGUUUAAAGGGAGCGUAGAUGGGUUGUUAAGUCAGUGGGGAAAGUUUGCGGCUCAACCGUAAAAUUGCACUUGAGACUGGCAGUCUUGCUUACAGUUGAGGUAGGCUGAAUUCGUGGUGUAGCUG